GGGGCCGUAGGGUAGCUUGGACCAUCCUUCAGGACUGGGGGUCCUGAGACCGGAGUUCAAAUCUCCGCGGCCCCA
rnacentral:tRNA from 1 species